UACGGGGGGAGCAAGCGUUGUUCGGAUUUACUGGGCGUAAAGGGCGCGUAGGCGGCCACUGCAAGUCGGUUGUGAAAUCUCCGGGCUUAACCCGGAAAGGUCAAUCGAUACUGCAGGGCUAGAGUGCAGAAGGGGCAACUGGAAUUCUCGGUGUAGCGGUGAAAUGCGUAGAUAUGCGGAGGAACACCGAUGGCGAAGGCAAUCCCCUGGGCCUGCACUGACGCUCAUGCACGAAAGCGUGGGGAGCAAACAGG
rnacentral:rRNA from 1 species